CACCAUUCAAUCAAAUUUCAUAGGUUUAACAACAACAUUUUCAUCAUUCCCACAAUUCAUUCAAAUUUCAUGGGUUUAACAUUAUCAUUUUCAUCAUUCACACAGUUCAAUCAAAUUUCAGGGGUUUAACAUCAACAUUUCAUCAUUUCCACAAUUUAAUCAAAUUUCAUAGGCUUAACAACAACAUUUUCAUCAUUCACACAAUUCAAUCAAAUUUCAUAGGUUUAACAACAGCACUUUCAUCAUUCCCUUAAUUCAAUCAAAUUUCAUAGGUUUAACAUCAACAUUUUCAUCAUGCACACAAUUCAAUUUGAUUUUAAGGGUUUAACAAAAUAAUUUUUAUCAUUCAUAUAUUUCAAUCAAAUUUCAUGGUUUUAACAACAAUAUUUUCAUUUAAUCACACAAAUUAAUCAAAUUUCAUGGGUUUAACAUCAUCAUUUUCGUCAUUCACACAGUUCAAUCAAAUAUCAUGGGUUUAACAUCAACAUUCCAUCAUUUCCAUAAUUCAAUCAAAUUUCAUGGGUUUAACAACAACAUUUUCAUUUUUCACACAAUUCAAUCAAAUUUCUUGGGUUUAACAUCAACAUUUCAUCAUUUCCACCAUUCAAUAAAAUUUCAUAGGUUUAACAACAACUUUUUCAUCAUUCCCACAAUUCAUUCAAAUUUCAUGGGUUUAACAUCAACAUUUCAUCAUUUCCACAAUUCAAUCAAAUUUCAUAGGUUUAACAACAACAUUUUCAUAAUUUACACAAUUCAAUCAAAUUUUAUAGGUUUCACAACAACAUUUUCAUCAUCCCCAUAAUUCAACCAAAUUUCAUGGGUUUACCAAAAACAUUUUCAUCAUUCCCACAAUUCAAUCAAAUUUCAUGGGUUUAACAUCAACAUUUUAAUCAUUCCCAUAAUUCAAUCAAAUUUCAUGGGUUUAACAAAAACAUUUCUAUCAUUCACACAAUUCAGUCAAAUUUUAGGGGUUUAACAACAACAUUUUCAUCAUUCCCUUAAUUCAAUAAAAUUUCAUGGGUUUAACAUCAACAUUUUCAUCAUUCCCAUAAUUCAAUCAAAAUUCAUGUGUUUAAUAACAACAUUUCCAUUAUUCCGACAAUUCAAUCAAAUUUCAUGGGUUUAACAUCAACAUUUUCAUCAUUCCCAUAAUUCAAUCAAAAUUCAUGUGUUUAAUAACAACAUUUCCAUUAUUCCGACAAUUCAAUCAAAUUUCAUGGGUUUAACAACAAUAUUUUCAUUUUUCACACAAUUCAAUCAAAUUUCUUGGGUUUAACAUCAACAUUUCAUCAUUUCCACCAUUCAAUCAAAUUUCAUAGGUUUUACAACAACAUUUUCAUCAUUCCCACAAUUCAUUCAAAUUUCAUGGGUUUAACAUUAUCAUUUUCAUCAUUCACACAGUUCAAUCAAAUUUCAUGGGUUUAACAUCAACAUUUCAUCAUUUCCACAACUCAAUCAGAUUUCAUAGGUUUAACAACAACAUUUUCAUCAUUCCCACAAUUCAAUCAAAUUUCAUAGGUUUAACAACAUCACUUUCAUCAUUCCCUUAAGUCAAUCAAAUUUCAUCGGUUUAACAUCGAC
rnacentral:lncRNA from 1 species